AUUUUAUUGUGAUACACCCCCUCCUCUCCCUCUCCACACACACACCAGUCCUCAUGAAUAUUAAUGAGGUCUAAUCCCCAUUUAGAAUUACAUUUGAGGAUGGUUGACGUAAAGUUUAAUAGGGAUAGACCUCAAACUCACUGCGGAGGAAAAAGAAGAAUCCGCAGAAGAAGAAAAAUCAGCACCAAAAAGCUGCGGUCACUGAAUCAAAUCCUGCACUUUAUAUGUCGGUGUUUUUUAAUGUGUUUUUAACCCAUCACACACAAAAACAAACAGUAUUUUCUCUGCUGUGUUUUUUAGCCCGGGUGUCAGUGAGGGUCGCGGGGAUGCAGCAGCUCAGCUCGGGCUAUCCUUUUGUGGAUCUCUGCAACUUCUGUAAACGAGGGCCCGAGCUGAAAGCGAGCUAAUGUUCAGAGAGAAGCUGCAGGGAUGGAAAUUACAUUUUUACGUGCGUGUGUGUGUGUGUGUGAGGAGGAGGAGGAGGAGGAGGAGGAGUAUCAAAGUGGAGGCCUUAAAAGACUUAAAAGUCAUCGACGAGAGCACUUUGACAGAGAAACUUAGACAUCAAUGGUCAAAAAAAAAGAGGAACAAAGUGAUGUUGGAGGUUGUGUGCGGAGGCCUGUAGUGAUGCAGGCAGGAGCACAGUGGAGGGAAAGGGCGCAUGAACGCACCUCAGCAUACACGAAUAAAGUCCAUGUUUUUACGCACGUUCAAAUGUAUGAAUGAGGUGAUGAUAUGAGGAGAGGAGAUGCACGGAGAGGAGAUGCGACAUGUUUUUUGGGGAGGGGGGUUAAUUGAUUUGGGUUUGUGUUGCCCGGCUGCUGACUGGAGGUCAAACACUUUUACGCACCUUUUUAUUUCCACCACAUCUGAAGUCCGAGCAGUCAGAGGGCCCGCGGAGGGUCUGACCGAAAUACCAUCACCCCUCCUCUCCUCUGCGCGCACACACACACAAACACACACAGGCUCCCGUUAAAUUAUGCAAAAAGGCCAUUCAACAAAUAUGGCCCUCACAACACAAAAGAGUCGGGUUAUUCUGACAUUUCCCCUACAUUUCUUGUUUUUUUCCUCCUCUCUCGAUGUGAGUAAGACCCCGAGAUAAACCCCUGAACAAGUAUCAAGUUAUCAAGUUGCACCAACCUUUUGUAAUAAGAGUAUUUUGUCUAAUCCCAAAUUGCAGUUGAAUUUUCUUAAUGCUGAGCUGGUAAAGCCUGGGAUUAGGCGGCGAGGAGAGGAGGGGGAAAAGUUUUGUCCCUUCAGCCGGCAGGAUUGGAAGCGGGGAUCUGCGGGGAUGUUGUCGGUGCUUAUUAAAACGAUGAUGCAUAAAACACAGUGCUGUAGGAGCCCCGGCGCUGCACGCAGAGACCCGGGCUCCCUCAGGUGCAGUUUUUUGGACGGCGGCGGGGAAAGGAAGUAAAGCAGAGGGCCGAGCGGCGCUCAGCACCUGUGAGGUGAGGCCAGGAGACAUCAAAGCUCAGGAGAUAAUCCAUUCAGCUGAAGGAUCCUCAGCUGCACAGCAGCGCCGAGGCACCGCCGCCUUUUACGCAGCGCGUCGCUCUUAUUCACUGAAAAAUAGGAAACUGACUCCAAAUGUUUUUGACUCCUUCUGCUCCAGCAGGAACAUUAAUGACACCCGGGUGAUGCUGAGGAGGUCCCUGACCAGCGCGUCUCGUUUGUUGACCAGUAUGACCAGCUCAUCCAGCAGCAGCUGCUCUCGUCUCUUCUGGGCCUCCGUCUUCUGCCAGUCUGCAACGACACCAGAGGAACAAACUCCUUCAGACCAGGAGACACGGAGGACUAACAAACAUCAACACACUUUGUCACAUGGAUGAAAAUGUCAGUUUUUUUGUCCUGCCAGCAACUUGUGACUCAUGAACGCCCUCACAGUUCAAGAUGAGUGAAAACAUUUCUAGAGAGAGUUACCUGGAAUAGAAAUGUUCCUCCUGAGCUCCUCUAGCAAAACUGUUUUUAAAUCUGUGGACGCGGCUUCACUUGUUUCCAGCUCUUCAUCAGGUAACUGAGUCACAGUAAAGGACUACAGAGCCUCAACAUGAUGGACAGGUGGACACUUUGGUAAAAGUGCAUCUUCUUAUUAACCUGCUGGGCUGCGUAGAGAUCGAGACCACGUCCAUGUACGGACGAGUGUGUAGACAUGACGUGGAAACACACUCCGUCAGGUUGUGUGUGUGUGUGUGUGUUCACAGUGACAUAUGUUGACCCGAGCAAACACACUUGAAGAUAUUGUCAUGUUAAUCUGCGGCCGUAUGAUGCACACACAGAUAUAUGAGGAGUCCAGUCCCCAUGGGAAAAUGCUGCCCGUAUAAAGUCCUCAAUCAUAAUUUCAAAAACACAGAUGAUUGUGUUUUAUGUUUAAAAAAAAUCAUGCCCUAUUAAAAGUGACAGCCACAUUGUA